rnacentral:lncRNA from 1 species
UCACUGUUUGUCUCUUGAGUCCUGACUCCUUUGUCCCUUCGUCCUCUAUAGCUGCUGCAGAGCUUUAAGAUCAUGGAGUACAGCCUGUAAAUGCUACAUCAAGCCUACGGUAUUUCACACAUUUUCCCUGGUGUACUCCUCCAUCCCCACUUUACUGUUUCUCUGACCCCUGCAUAUUGUCCCUCUGCUCUUCCUGUAGCUGCUGCAGAGCUUUGAGAUCAUGGACUACAGCCUGCUGGUGGGGAUCCACAACCUGGAGCAGGCAGGUGGCUCGGGAGCUGGCUGGAGAGGAGGCAGGGGGGCAGCACACCAGAGGGGCCAGAGUUCCUUCUACUCCACCACCAUUGAUACCAUCCAGGGAGAGGCAAAUGGCUCUGGGUGCACAGGACACGGAGGACCAGCAAGUAUCCACUUUGCAGUCCGCACACAUCUCAGUCCAGCUAGUUUGUUCAGUUGUUUGAAUAUUUAGUGUAGUAGAAUUUGAAAGCUGAUCUGACCAGUUGAGGAAAAUGUGUGUUGGUCCAUAAUAUAGGAGGUUAUCCCUGUAUGUUUUUGCAGCAUGGGGGGUAUCCCGACAUGGAAGUCCAAGAGGGAGAGGAUGCUAGUCUAUAUCGGCAUAAUUGACAUUCUGCAGUCCUACAGUUUGCGAAGAAGAACGAUCACUCGUGGAAAGCUCUGGUCAACAACGGGUGAAGAUGCCCCUGUUGAAGAAGAGCUGAGUAGGGACCCAGGGGUUCCUACGGAGGGCCAGUACAGCCGGCUCCAGAACCUCUUCGUUCCCCCAGCCAAGAAGCAGCAGCAACCUAGAAGUUCCACACAGCACAGAGACCGUGACAGAGGGAGACAGCGUUGA